CGAUGGCCUCAUUUUAGUCUAUUACCAAGUUUCUGCUCUUUGGCUGAAGUCUGAUGCCCAGCUGGAGUGCAGGGACAUGAGGGCUGAAGCUGGAGCUUUAUCCUGGACCAACAACCUGUUAGGAACUUCAUACUGAAGAUGGCUGAGUAACAAGAUAGAAGGUGCCUGGGUCCCUGGUGGAUACGCUAGAUCUGGAUGUUCAGCCCUGUAUCAACUGAAUGAAACCGGGAGAAAGAAAAGGAGGAUCAGAAGCUCAGCAAGACACUGCUCUUAGCUGUAUCAUCAGCUCAGGAACGUGCAGAGCUAAAGGAGAGAGUGGGGUGGAACGUUGGCAGCUGAAGUGCUAAUGACAACUGUGACUGUAUGUACCCUCUCCUAGCUGGAAUAUCACCUUCCCAUGCACGAUGUGUGACAGAAAUACUCUUC